rnacentral:lncRNA from 1 species
GGUAACAUGUUUCGGCGUCCUUCCACACUGUCGCGGCUUAUGUUGUUUUGCUGUUUGGGUUUGCACUGUCUUUUUGAGCUGUAACACAGCAAAGGUUUGCAGUUUCGCUCCUGAAAUCAUCGAGACCACAAACCCACCGGGAAGAACGAACAACUCCAGACGCACCGCUUUAAGAGCUGUAAUACUCGUUAGGAAGGUGUGCAGCUUGACUCCUGAGUCAGCGAGACCAUGAACCCAUCAGAAGGAAAAAACUCCGAACAUCAGAAGGAACAAGUAAUUGUAUGACAAUGGAGAGGUGAUUACUGCGCUGAAAAUCAGUUUCCUGAAGUGAAAAAGGGAAUCAAGUUACGUCACAGAGCCUGGUGUGAGCGGCGCUCUGUCAACACCAGCUCUUCAUGGGUUGUGGUUUCCUCCAGUUCCUGGAUGUGUGGAGUUCAUCCUCCACUGACUGGCGCCCCGGUUGACAAUGAGGUCUGGAAAUUGGCAACUGAUGAAGGGAAGUGUAUCAGUCCGUUUUCAUGCUGCUGAUAAAGACACACCCGAGACUGGGAAGAAAAAGAGGUUUAAUGGACUUACACUUCGACAUGGCUGGGGAGGCCUCACAAUCGUGGUAGAAGGCAAGGAGGAGCAAGUCACAUCUUACGUGGAUGGUGGUGGGCAAAAGAGAGAGAGCUUGUGCAGGGGAACUCCUCUUUUUAAAAGUAUCAGAUCUCGUGAGAUUUAUUCACUAUUAUGACAACAGCAGAAGACAGACCUGCCCCCAUGAUUCAAUUACCUCCCACUGAGUGCCUCCCUCAACAUGUGGGAAUUACGAGUUAUACUUCAAGAUGAUUUGGGUGGGGACACACAGCCAAACCAUAUUAGGGAGCAGGAAAAAGAAACAAAAACAGCAACUAAUAACUCCCAAGACCACAGCUUCGCUCCUGUCUAGAGCUUUGCUACUUAGCCACAGGAACACGGGUGAUCAUACCUCAACAGAAGUCUGCCAGCAUUCAUUACGACCAGUGCUUAAUCUCAUCUGACAAUAUCAAUGUCAAAAUCAGAGCUUGGAGCUGGCGGUGUUUCAGCAGAGGAGUCUUUGGAGCUUCCACGAACUGGUUCAAUAAACAAUCUUGCUGUGAAACAC